rnacentral:rRNA from 1 species
GACGAACGCUGGCGGCGUGCUUAACACAUGCAAGUCGAACGGAAAGGCCCUGCUUUUGUGGGGUGCUCGAGUGGCGAACGGGUGAGUAACACGUGAGUAACCUGCCCUUGACUUUGGGAUAACUUCAGGAAACUGGGGCUAAUACCGGAUAGGAGCUCCUGCUGCAUGGUGGGGGUUGGAAAGUUUCGGCGGUUGGGGAUGGACUCGCGGCUUAUCAGCUUGUUGGUGGGGUAGUGGCUUACCAAGGCUUUGACGGGUAGCCGGCCUGAGAGGGUGACCGGGCACAUGGGGGCUGAGAUAGGGCCCAGACUCCUACGGGAGGAAGGGGGGGGAAAUAUUGCCCAAUGGGGGGAAGCUGGAGGAGAAACCCCCGGGGGGGGGAAGGCGGCCUUCGGGUUGUAAACAGCUUUCGCCGGGACCGAGGCGGGGGUGACGGUAAUGGGGAAAAAAGCACCGGCUAACUACGU